rnacentral:rRNA from 1 species
GUGGGGAAUAUUGGACAAUGGGCGAAAGCCUGAUCCAGCCAUGCCGCGUGUGUGAAGAAGGUCUUCGGAUUGUAAAGCACUUUAAGUUGGGAGGAAGGGCAGUAAGCUAAUACCUUGCUGUUUUGACGUUACCGACAGAAUAAGCACCGGCUAACUCUGUGCCAGCAGCCGCGGUAAUACAGAGGGUGCAAGCGUUAAUCGGAAUUACUGGGCGUAAAGCGCGCGUAGGUGGUUCGUUAAGUUGGAUGUGAAAGCCCCGGGCUCAACCUGGGAACUGCAUCCAAAACUGGCGAGCUAGAGUACGGUAGAGGGUGGUGGAAUUUCCUGUGUAGCGGUGAAAUGCGUAGAUAUAGGAAGGAACACCAGUGGCGAAGGCGACCACCUGGACUGAUACUGACACUGAGGUGCGAAAGCGUGGGGAGCAAACAGGAUUAGAUACCCUAGUAGUCC